rnacentral:lncRNA from 1 species
UUUUGACCAAUAUUGCAAACUUUGACCUCCUUACCUUGAGUUAAGUGGGGCAUUCAUUUUGGUAGAGGAAAAUGUUUAAGUUUGGGGUGGUUGAGGUUACAAAAAGAAAACGACAAGAAAAGCAAAAAGAAAAAGAAGAAAAAGAAGAAAAGAAAAAAAGAGCAAGAAAAAGAAUCAAUAGAUGAAAAAUUGGAAAAAGAAUUGAGAAUUGGUUGUAAUUUCUUGAAGUUAAGAAGAGGAUUUUGUUGACUUGUGCUGAUUUGAAUGCUCUCUUAGCUAAAGGUGUUUUGAAUCUAGAAAAACCAAAAUUCUUUCUUAGCCCAACCAAAAUACAAGCCUUGAAAGUCCUUGUGAUGCAAACUUGCAGGUGAAUG